UACGUAGGGUGCAAGCGUUGUCCGGAAUUAUUGGGCGUAAAGAGCUCGUAGGCGGUCUGUCGCGUCGGCUGUGAAAACCCGGGGCUCAACCCCGGGCCUGCGGUCGAUACGGGCAGACUAGAGUGUGGUAGGGGAGACUGGAAUUCCUGGUGUAGCGGUGAAAUGCGUAGAUAUCGGAAGGAACACCGGUGGCGAAGGCGGAUGCCUGGCCCAAUACUGACGCUGAGGCACGAAAGCGUGGGUAGCGAACAGG
rnacentral:rRNA from 1 species